rnacentral:rRNA from 1 species
AUUGAACGCUGGCGGCGUGCCUAACACAUGCAAGUCGAGCGGUAACAGGUGUAGCAAUACAUGCUGACGAGCGGCGGACGGGUGAGUAACGCUUGGGAAUCUGCCUGUUAGUGGGGGACAACCCGGGGAAACUCGGGCUAAUACCGCAUACGCACUACGGUGGAAAGCCGGGGACCGCAAGGCCUGGCGCUAACAGAUGAGCCCAAGUCGGAUUAGCUAGUUGGUAGGGUAAUGGCCUACCAAGGCGACGAUCGGUAGCUGGUCUGAGAGGACGACCAGCCACACUGGGACUGAGACACGGCCCAGACUCCUACGGGAGGCAGCAGUGGGGAAUAUUGGACAAUGGGCGCAAGCCUGAUCCAGCGAUGCCGCGUGUGUGAAGAAGGCCUGCGGGUUGUAAAGCACUUUCAGUAGGGAAGAAAGCC